UACGAAGGGGGCUAGCGUUGCUCGGAAUUACUGGGCGUAAAGCGCACAUAGGCGGCUUUCUAAGUCGGGGGUGAAAUCCUGGAGCUCAACUCCAGAACUGCCUUCGAUACUGGAAAGCUCGAGUCCGGGAGAGGUGAGUGGAACUGCGAGUGUAGAGGUGAAAUUCGUAGAUAUUCGCAAGAACACCAGUGGCGAAGGCGGCUCACUGGCCCGGUACUGACGCUGAGGUGCGAAAGCGUGGGGAGCAAACAGG
rnacentral:rRNA from 1 species